AUUGGACGCUGGCGGCAUGCCUUACACAUGCAAGUCGAACGGCAGCACGGGAGCAAUCCUGGUGGCGAGUGGCGAACGGGUGAGUAAUAUAUCGGAACGUGCCCAGUCGUGGGGAUAACGUAGCGAAAGCUACGCUAAUACCGCAUACGAUCUAUGGAUGAAAGCGGGGGAUCGCAAGACCUCGCGCGAUUGGAGCGGCCGAUAUCAGAUUAGGUAGUUGGUGAGGUAAAGGCUCUACCAAGCCGACGAUCUGUAGCUGGUCUGAGAGGACGACCAGCCACACUGGGACUGAGACACGGCCCAGACUCCUACGGGAGGCAGCAGUGGGGAAUUUUGGACAAUGGGCGCAAGCCUGAUCCAGCAAUGCCGCGUGCAGGAUGAAGGCCUUCGG
rnacentral:rRNA from 1 species